UCCCCACACAGACAUCACUCAACAGUUAGAGCCAGACCGAGGAAUUUUCACCAAACACACAAUGUCAUGAUCCCAACACUCUUCUCCUAGAGGCUUGUCGGAACCAAGAAACGCGGGAAAUAUCUACGACUUUUAAGAGAAGGGGGGGGGCAAAAGAAAUGGGAAAUAGAGUUACCGAUAGCCUGACGGUCGGUCUGAGCCUCCAACCAGUGUUGCUCAAAUUGAAUGUUGUAAAGGGCCUCUUCCAACUUGGAUAUCUG